rnacentral:lncRNA from 1 species
GGGGCCCAAAGGAUAUGCUGACUUCACUGACAUCCUGUAAACUGCCGAAUCAGCCAACACUUUUUUGACUAAAAAAGUAGCUGUGAUGAUGCAAAUACAGGGGUGAGUUAUUAUUAUUAUUAUCAUUAUUAUUAUUAUUAAUUAGUCUUCACAAUAUCUCUCAGUAUGAAAUGGUACUCUUCAAAUUUAUAGUAAUUUCAGUUCUUUAAAAAGCCAAACAUCCAUGAAGAUGUGUUUAUACCUUAUCUUUUUGUUUUAUAAGUAGGUAUGGACUAACAGACACAUCCUGGAAUGAUGAAAAUUUAUUGAGAAAUACAAGCUUUUUUGUUUCAGGCGAAUGUUUCAGUAAUUUGUAGUUAAAAUAAUAAAAACAAUGAUAACUGUUGUUUUUUGACCAACAUAAAUCCACACUCACAUGUGAUAAACAGCUUCACAUGAGGAACCUCCCCUCCUCAUCCUCACUCUGUUCACAGAGCACGGAGCCCUCAGUGAGCUCACUAAAAUAACACUAAAUGGCUGUUUCAACCAUAGACUGUACAUGGAAUGGACACCGUCUGCCUCCUAGGUGGGUGAAGCCACACCUUCCUCCAGCAAUCCCUAUGGAGCUGUGGACAAACUUUAGAAAUUAAUUACACAGAAUAAAAAUUUUUCUCCUCCCUGCUGGCAAUGUUCACAUGUAGUUAUUAUAAUACUGGUUUGUGCUCAAGUCCUUUUUUUCUGUAUAGCUCCAUUUUUAAAAGUUAUUAGGGGGUUCGCAUUUUCUAUGAUUGACACUUGAUACAGCCUAUAGGUGUAUGAAGUUUAGGUACCUCAACCGGGGGAUACGCUUUUGACCUGAAUGCAGACAACACUACUGCGCAAGCGGUGAAAUGCGUAAACACAACCGUGCCAGUGGUGGUUUCAGGUAGUGGAGAAAAUCCCAGAAAUAUCAUGAGCAAUUUGUCUUCAAAUUCAUAUAAUGGCAGAAGGUGGAGCAAAGUUGUCCAUGGUAUAAACAGUCUAUGGUUUCAACCUUUAACCCUGUCUUGGUUCAGUGACUGUGCAGGUCUGUUCUCACAUAGAACUCCUCUCCUUCAGCAUUCACAGUUUCCUGCAGCACUUGAACUCAGCACCGGACUUCCUUGAAAAACAGGCCCAGAGCAGCUGCUGGAGCAGAUCUGGGGCCUAUUCUACGAAGCAGGAUUACUGCUUAGCGAGGUUACUUCGAGAGUAAGUUCAAGGUUUCCUGUUUUACGACG